rnacentral:rRNA from 1 species
UACGUAGGGGGCAAGCGUUGUCCGGAAUCAUUGGGCGUAAAGAGCGUGUAGGCGGCCCGAUAAGUCCGCUGUGAAAGUCCAGGGCUCAACCCUGGGAUGCCGGUGGAUACUGUCGGGCUCGAGUCCGGAAGAGGAGUGUGGAAUUCCUGGUGUAGCGGUGGAAAUGCGCAGAUAUCAGGAGGAACACCAAUGGCGAAGGCAGCACUCUGGGACGUGACUGACGCUGAGACGCGAAAGCGUGGGGAGCAAACAGG